rnacentral:lncRNA from 1 species
ACAACAUAAAAGCUUUAAACGGAAUAAAACCACAAAUGCCUUCUCUCAAAUACGUUCUUUAGAGUUGGCAAAGUGAAAAAUCAGAAAGAAAAAAAAAAAAAAAAGUUUUGUUUUUUAAGGAAAAAACCUGUCACUGUCUAAUAUUGACUAAAACAUUUCACAUCCAUCUAGUACAUCACUGAUAAUACUCGUUAAACAUAAAAAGGUUAUGUUACAAUAAAAAAAUAAAAGAAAUGACAAAUUGGACACAUCCUCACAAAAAGAACCACAGUACUGCAACACUUGAAUGCAACCAUUUCAGUUUUAGCACAAGGAACUUAAGUACCACCCUCCUGAUUGACCAGGGCCUGCUCGCGGGGCAAAUCGACCGGGCCUUGUCAGCGUGACAUUGACCAGGGCCUUGCUCAGCGGUGUGCAAACAUUCGACCAGGGGCCUUGCUCAGCGGGUGUGCAAACAUUUGACCAGGGCCUUGCUCAGCGGGGUGCAACAUUCGACCAGGGCCUUGCUCAGCGGAAACACACACAGAACAGAGACUGUGUCACGAUCAUUAGGGAACAAGAGGAAGAGAAGAAGACCACAUUUCAGAACGUAUCAACCUUUUGAGCUGGGACCCAAGUCUGACACCACCAGGGACACAUUACUAUCUGAACUCCAACGAAAUAAACAGAACGGAAAUCACUUCCUCUCAAUAAAGUUGUUUUUUUUUUGUGUGUUUUUCUCUUUUUUACAAAAAUCACCGGUACACAUCUUUCAUUUUUCUCUCUAAAUAAAAUCUAAACAAGCCUGUGUAAUGCAAUUGGGUGGGGGGGGGGGGUUGUGGGGGGGGCUUAGGUUGAGUCAAGCUUGGCCAUCUCCUGCCACAUAGAUCCCUAUGCUCUCGCUGUCGACAGCACGAAGUAGACCGUCUGAUGGAAGAAGAAACAUGGUGGCACACAAAGUAGCUGAGAUGGCUUUUAGAAUGAGCUGGGCAGCCGUCUGCUUCGGGAAGCAUUCUGAGGAAACAAUAAUAAUGAUACAAUUUAAUUCACUUUUAUAGCGCUUUUUCAUUACGUUCAAAAGAAUAUCAAAGCACUUUAAAAAAAUCGCGGGGGGGGGGGGGGUAGGGGGGGAGACAAGCCAUUUUGAAAGAUCAGGAUUUAAAAAAGAAGGUGAAAUAACUGAUUUGACGAACAGUAAUACAGUGUCUUUUAUACUGAUAACAAGUUC